rnacentral:rRNA from 1 species
UACGGAAGGCAGCAGUGGGGAAUAUUGCACAAUGGGCGCAAGCCUGAUGCAGCCAUGCCGCGUGUAUGAAGAAGGCCUUCGGGUUGUAAAGUACUUUCAGUCGUGAGGAAGGUGUUAAGGUUAAUAACCUUAGCAAUUGACGUUAGCGACAGAAGAAGCACCGGCUAACUCCGUGCCAGCAGCCGCGGUAAUACGGAGGGUGCGAGCGUUAAUCGGAAUUACUGGGCGUAAAGGGCACGCAGGCGGCUAAUUAAGUUGGAUGUGAAAUCCCCGGGCUUAACCUGGGAAUGGCAUUCAAGACUGGUUAGCUAGAGUCUUGUAGAGGGGGUUAGAAUUCCAUGUGUAGCGGUGAAAUGCGUAGAGAUGUGGAGGAAUACCGGUGGCGAAGGCGGCCCCUGGGACAAAGACUGACGCUCAUGUGCGAAAGCGUGGGGAGCAAACAGGAUUAGAUACC